rnacentral:rRNA from 1 species
GACGAACGCUGGCGGCGUGCUUAACACAUGCAAGUCGAACGCUGAGCCCGCUUCGGUGGGGGAUGAGUGGCGAACGGGGGAGUAACACGUGGGCAACCUGCCCCCGGCUCUGGGAUAACUCCAAGAACUUGGGGCUACUACCGCAUGUGACCGCUGGCCGCAUGGGCUGGUGGUGGAAAGGGUUUCCGGCUGGGGCUGGGCACGCGGCCUAUGAGCUUGUUGGUGGGGUAGUGGCCGACCAAGGCGACGACGGGUAGCCGGCCUGUGAGGGUGACCGGCCACACUGGGACUGAGAGACGGCCCAGACUCCAACGGGAGGCAGCAGUGGGGAAUAUUGCGCAGUGGGCGGAAGCCUGUGGCAGCGACGCCGCGUGGGUGAUGACGGCCUUCGGGUUGUAAACCGCUUUCAGCAAGGACGAAGCGGAAGUGACGGUACCUGAAGAAGAAGCACCGGCCAACUACGUG